UGCGGAGGGCUCGGCAGCUUGGAGAGAUCGGGGGCCCCCGGGCCGAGCGGGGUCGGGUAGGGCCCCACCCGUCGGGGCGCUAGGACGAACUGUGCCCGCCUCUCCGUACGCGGACACCGGCCCAGGGGAAGCGCGCCAGCCAAGGCCUCCCUCACCGAGUGAAACUGAAAGCAUCCGUAACACCAGGGGCAAAAGUAUAAACCCCAACGUGUGGCGCCUGCAGCGUGGGAACGCGACAUAAGGAACCACCUCUACAGGGAAGCAGAAGUGGGCCGCGCUGGUCCAGGACUGGGCAGUAGGCCGUGUUCACAGCUGCCCCGAA